GAUGAACGCUGGCGGCGUGCCUAAUACAUGCAAGUCGAGCGAACAGACGAGGAGCUUGCUCCUCUGAUGUUAGCGGCGGACGGGUGAGUAACACGUGGAUAACCUACCUAUAAGACUGGGAUAACUUCGGGAAACCGGAGCUAAUACCGGAUAACAUGUUGAACCGCAUGGUUCAACAGUGAAAGACGGUCUUGCUGUCACUUAUAGAUGGAUCCGCGCCGCAUUAGCUAGUUGGUAAGGUAACGGCUUACCAAGGCAACGAUGCGUAGCCGACCUGAGAGGGUGAUCGGCCACACUGGAACUGAGACACGGUCCAGACUCCUACGGGAGGCAGCAGUAGGGAAUCUUCCGCAAUGGGCGAAAGCCUGACGGAGCAACGCCGCGUGAGUGAAGAAGGUCUUCGGAUCGUAAAACUCUGUUAUUAGGGAAGAACAAAUGUGUAAGUAACUAUGCACGUCUGGACGGUACCUAAUCAGAAAGCCACGGCUAACUACGU
rnacentral:rRNA from 1 species